rnacentral:rRNA from 1 species
UCAGGCCUAACACAUGCAAGUCGAGCGGUAGCGGGAAGAGCUUGCUCUUUGCCGACGAGCGGCGGACGGGUGCGUAACACGUUGGAAUCUGCCUGGUAGUGGGGGAUAGCCCGGAGAAAUCCGGAUUAAUACCGCAUACGCCCUAAGGGGGAAAGGAGGGGACCCGUUUCUUUUAUAAGGAGCGAGCCUUUCGCUAUCAGAUGAGCCUGCGUCGGAUUAGCUUGUUGGUGGGGUAAAGGCCUACCAAGGCGACGAUCCGUAGCUGGUCUGAGAGGAUGAUCAGCCACACUGGGACUGAGACACGGCCCAGACUCCUACGGGAGGCAGCAGUGGGGAAUAUUGCACAAUGGGCGAAAGCCUGGUGCAGCCAUGCCGCGUGUGUGAAGAAGGCCCUAGGGUUGUAAAGCACUUUCAGUGGGGAGGAAAGGUUGAAGGUUAAUACCCUUCAGCUGUGACGUUACCCACAGAAGAAGCACCGGCUAACUCCGUGCCAGCAGCCGCGGUAAUACGGAGGGUGCGAGCGUUAAUCGGAAUUACUGGGCGUAAAGCGUGCGUAGGCGGCCACCUAAGUUGGAUGUGAAAGCCCCGGGCUCAACCUGGGAACUGCAUCCAAAACUGGGUGGCUAGAGUACGGGAGAGGAGUGUGGAAUUUCCUGUGUAGCGGUGAAAUGCGUAGAUAUAGGAAGGAACACCAGUGGCG